AAAACAACAACAUUCGCUCGGUAGCCAAAAACUUCAUGUCCAACACUCCGGAAACUUCUUUCCUAUCGAAUAAACAACAUUUUUCUGCAUAUAAUCACACCUGGUUGAAAGGGGGUGCAUCGUUAGCAAGUGUAGCUCAAGUGCAAAAGGAAAAGUGUAGCGUAAAGUGUUGGUGUUAUUUUUAACGCAAGUUGUCUUGUAAUACGUUUUCGAUCAGCGUGUAUCUUCUGUACAAUCAAACCACAAAUGAGAAUGACAUCGUCGACAAAAAUAAUGCUGAUAGCUUGCGGUUCGUUCAGUCCGCCAACACCGAUGCACUUUCGAAUGUUUGAAAUUGCGCGCGAUCACAUCCAGCAAAUGGGCCAAGGACAGGUGGUCGGUGGGAUAGUAUCGCCGGUGCAUGACUCAUACUCGAAGAAAGGACUCGUGUCCGCUACACACCGUUGUGCAAUGAUUAAGAUUGGCUUGAAGACAUCGGACUGGAUUCAUCUGUCCGAUUGGGAAACGCAACAAGAAGAAUGGACACGAACUCGUCAAGUGUUGCAGUAUCAUCAGAACUACAUAAAUUCGUACUUAAAAGAUACUAAUGGGACCAUCAACAACCAGCACAUACCCGCCUGGAUACCGGAAGGCAUAAAACGAACCGGCGGUCAGGUGCAACUGAAGCUACUAUGUGGUGCCGAUUUGCUAGAAUCAUUUGCUACGCCGGGCUUGUGGAAGGAUGAGGAUCUGGAAGCGAUUCUGGGAUACCAUGGUGUGGUGGUAAUAUCCCGUGCCGGAUCUAACCCGGAACAGUUCAUCUUUAAUUCCGAUCUGCUAAGUCGGUAUCGACGCAACAUAACGAUCGUUACGAACUGGGUAACGAACGACGUUAGUUCAACGUUAAUUCGAAGGUUAUUGAGCCGCGGGCUUUCGGUGAAAUACUUGCUGGACGAUCAUGUAGCCGAUUACAUACGCAAGUUUGGCCUGUUCGGAUCGAACAAUGACACUAAGUACAUUCUAACACCGGGUAGUGCAACGGAGGCGAUGAGCAUUUCGCCCAUCUCCCCCAUCAACGAUCCCGAUCUGUACAUCGAGCAUCAAAACCAACGGAACAAGCUCGGAUCGUCCUGUGAGGCAAUGGAUGAAACGGAUUUCCCCAUUCCGCCCAUACCGGUCGGGGCACCAACCACACUGAACAAGGUGUUCUGUUGUGCAAAUGAUACUAAACCGACUACCGGCCGGGGAGCAACGUUUCUAGGAAGACCGGGCAGUGCGGUACAGAUAAUAACGACCGCGGCACCAUCACCGACACCGCCGCUUGUAACUUCCCCCGAUGGGACAACGAAACCCGCCCAGCAGCACAUCACGCUCGAUGAAAGCGAUUGCAGUGCGGGAAAGAAGGUGGGUGAGAGUGCGAUCGGUAAGGGAAGUCCCCGGCGGAUUGGUGUGCCCAUGGACCAACCCACACAACAAACCCCCAAACCAAGCACAAACGCUAAAAACAGCACCAACAAAGACAAUACCAGCACGUCAUCAUCGACCAAACGCACGACCACGACCACUAAUAGCACCUCCGAUACCAUAGCAACCGAGCGCAGUAGUACGAAAAGGGGUGCGAUGGCGCUGACUAAAGCAAGCACCACGUCCACCACAGCCGCUACUAGCAAGCUAGGAGCUACUUUAAGCACAAACACAGCCCACACGGUGGGCCCGUCGACGAAUGCUUCGACCGGUCGGAUCAGCCCGUCGCGUAGUUACGACGAUAUGAUCAAAUUUGUUUUCACAGAGCACGGCAUUAAGGUCAUAAGCGAUCGCGAGUACGUAGUGUAGAGAGCAUUUGGGGUUUACAUUUAUGCUAGCAAGUAUAUGCUCGGUUUAGACGCACAUACACAUACGCGUCAUAAAAAAGAUGAAAAUAGCUGCUUGUCCAGUGUAAAGAUGGUCAAUUUGCGUAACGAUGAUACCAUUUUCGUACGAAAUCUCGCACCAAAUGCAAAUGCGACAGAGCCGGAGAGAAUAAUUUUCGUAACAAAUGAAUGUUAUAUUAUGUGGUUGUUUCGUGCCUAGUUCCUUACUUUUGUAAUAUUGUAAUAGCUUGUUAAUAUUUAUUUACUGUUACAUCACACGUUGCGUACCUUAGAAAACAAAAACAAAAAAGCAGAAGAUUUCAAAACAAUUAAAGCAAAGAGAUCAACAAAUAUUCUACAAGCUUUUGACUCGUUUACUCCAAGAGUCGCGUGAAGUUUUACUCAUCCGUAUUUAGGAACACUUUUGUUUUCACACUUUUAAACUAUAAUGCAUAAAGGCUUUGUGACGCAGAUCGCGGGUACACAGUGAACAUAGGCAAACGAUUUUAUAGCUCAAAACUGCGUAGCAAACGGGUAUAAUGGCACCAGCCGCGUAUUUGCCGCCCGUUAGAUUGAUUUCUUCUUCUCCGGUGUUCCGGAGCUCGAACAACGGUAGACAAAUAGGUGAAUGUGAUUAGAUGGAAGACUUAAUAAAACUAAGUAGUUACAGGUAA